rnacentral:rRNA from 1 species
GAAAUGCCUGAGUGUACCCCGUUUUGCGGCGUAUUCGGUGUGAUAAAUCUUCACCGGAGUUGAUCCCUUUAUGGGGUCGCGUCUGUAAUGGUGUGGCUCUAUGCUUCGAACCGUCUCCUAUCGAGACAAAUCUCUGACAAUUUGACCUCAAAUCGGGUGGGACUACCCGCUGAACUUAAGCAUAUCAAUAAGCGGAGGAAAAGAAACUAACAAGGAUUCCCCUAGUAACGGCGAGUGAAGAGGGAAAAGCUCAAAUUUUGAAUCUGGUGUCUUUGACUCCCGAGUUGUAAUCUAGAGAAGUGUUUUCCGUGUCGGACCGUGCACAAGUUCCCUGGAACGGGGCGUCAUAGAGGGUGAGAAUCCCGUAUAUGGCAUGGACUGCCGAUGCUUUUGUGAUACACUCUCAACGAGUCGAGUUGUUUGGGAAUGCAGCUCAAAAUGGGUGGUAAAUUCCAUCUAAAGCUAAAUAUUGGCGAGAGACCGAUAGCGAACAAGUACCGUGAGGGAAAGAUGAAAAGCACUUUGGAAAGAGAGUGAAACAGUACGUGAAAUUGUUGAAAGGGAAGCGUUUGAAGUCAGUCGUAUCUGGCGGGAUUCAGCCGGGCUUUUGCCAGGUGUACUUCUCGUCCGAUGGGUCAGCAUCAAUUUCGACCGGGGGAAAAAGACGUGUGGAAUGUGGCUGUCUUCGGGCAGUGUUAUAGCCAUGCGUUGUAUGCCUCGGUUGGGAUUGAGGAACGCAGCGCGCCUAUAGGCCAGGGGUUCGCCUCUUGACACGCGCUUAGGAUGCUGGCAUAAUGGCUUCAAGCGACCCGUCU